rnacentral:rRNA from 1 species
GAUGAACGCUGGCGGCGUGCCUAACACAUGCAAGUCGAGCGGCAGCGAGGGGUGCUUGCACCCUGUCGGCGAGCGGCGGACGGCUGAGUAACGCGUGGGAACGUGCCCCAAAGUGAGGAAUAACUGCCCGAAAGGGUAGCUAAUACCGCAUAUUAUCUUCGGAUCAAAGGAUUUAUCCGCUUUGGGAGCGGCUCGCGUCGGAUUAGGUAGUUGGUGAGGUAAUGGCUCACCAAGCCGACGAUCCGUAGCUGGUCUGAGAGGAUGACCAGCCAGACUGGAACUGAGACACGGUCCAGACUCCUACGGGAGGCAGCAGUGAGGAAUCUUCCACAAUGGGCGAAAGCCUGAUGGAGCAACGCCGCGUGCAGAACGAAGGCCUUCGGGUUGUAAACUGCUUUUAUAAGUGAGGAAUAUGACGGUAACUUAUGAAUAAGGAUCGGCUAACUACGUG